rnacentral:lncRNA from 1 species
AAUAUGAAACUGCAAGGAGAUCCAUCUGUCCUGGUGUGAGAAUGGGCGAGGCUAUCCCUGUGAUGCGUCAUGGUUUGUGUAUUUCAUGACUGUUCACUUCUGGUUUGCGACCAGUAGAUCAAUGAUUAACACUUGAGUCAAGCCGAAUCCCGUGGUAUCUUCAAUCAAAUACUUUAAAAAAAAAACCCUGCCAUUUGGUAAGCAGUCACAA